AUGGCUCAGGAGUGAACGCUAGCGGCAGGCUUAACACAUGCAAGUCGAGGGGCAUCGGGAGUAGCAAUACUGCCGGCGACCGGCGCAAGGGUGCGUAACGCGUGAGCAACAUGCCCGUAUCAGGGGGAUAAUCCAUGGAAACGUGGUCUAAUACCCCAUAGUAAUUAUGUAAGGCAUCUUAUAUAAUUUAAAGCUUUGGUGGAUACGGAUUGGCUCGCGUGACAUUAGCUAGAUGGUAAGGUAACGGCUUACCAUGGCUACGAUGUCUAGGGGUUCUGAGAGGAAGGUCCCCCACACUGGAACUGAGACACGGUCCAGACUCCUACGGGAGGCAGCAGUGAGGAAUAUUGGACAAUGGAUGGAAAUCUGAUCCAGCCAUGCCGCGUGCAGGAAGACGGCCCUAUGGGUUGUAAACUGCUUUUGUAUGGGAGCAAUAAGGGCUACGCGUAGUCCGAUGAGAGUACCAUACGAAUAAGCACCGGCUAACUCCGUGCCAGCAGCGGC
rnacentral:rRNA from 1 species